NAGUUUUCCACCACAGAUUCCUUUGCCUGUUGUCCAACAAACCCCUCUGAAUCACCGAGUGCUCUGUUCUCCAUGAAAAGGAAAAUCAGCCGGCAAAUCGGGCUCGGGAUCCGAAGGGAUCCCACAUUUUUCGGGCAGGGCUGGCUGGAGCCUCAUUCCAGGCCUGGAAUUUCCAGUUGUUUUUCCAUGUUUCCCUUGUUGUGUAGGUACAGCAGAUUUUGGUUGGCAAUCAGAUGUGGUUUGGUUUUCCUACCUGGCUCUGGGUUACAGGAAAUUCCUUGGGAAUUCCAGUGGCUUCCAGCAGGAGCCUCCCUCCUCAAUCCUUGUUAUUCUUGGGAAAACCAAGGGGCUGGAAUUUGCUCUGCUGUUGUGACAUGGGGAGAAUUUGGAUAUCAAACGUUGCUGUAUCCUGAAGGGCACACCCAACAUUCCCACCGGGAAAAUGGGAUGUCCUGGGGAGGUUUUGUUGGGUUGAAAGGGCGUGCAAAGGCUGGAAGCGUUCUCCAGGUGUAUCCAGAGAAUCCUGCCUUUUCCUGCUGUGCCAAAGUCCCUAAAAUCCCACAGAAAAAGAGGCUUUUUCCUUCCCUUCUCCUUUCUGAUCCCGCUUGUUGCAAGAGCAUCCCAUGGAGUUCCACCCUGGGAAUUUUACCUGGAGAAAAGGGAAAAGUUGUCUCGUUCAGAAUGUGGAGAUUCCAAGUGUGUGAGCACCCUGGGAUACUCAGGGUGGGAAAAAAAGCCUUUCUGGGGAUGGGAAUGCAGCAUUUUGCUGCCAAGCUGGAGAGGGCUGAGGGUAAUUUUGUGGAAGAAUUUGGAUUGGAGUGUUCUCUCCCUUUCCCAUCUCUCCAGGAUUGGCUGUAAUCCAUCACUCUGAUUGCCUUUCCCUGGUCAGCGGGAUUUAUAUCCUCUUCUCUCUCAUAUUUAAAAGAUUGUAGGUGCAACCUUUCUUUUUCAUUUUGAUUAGGAGUCUUCUUUUCCUGCUCCUGGAAAGGUCACGGUGUCCCUUUUCCCAAAGCUGGGAGUACAUUUCAAUUUGGGAGCAUUACAGCAGGAAUGGGAGGCAGCUCUCCUGGAUUUCAGUGAAUUUUCCCUGAAUUUGUUAUUCCAGUGCCCAGGCUCGGCUGAUGCUGAUGGGAAAGAGUUUUGUGGGUGGACAGAGCUGAUCCUCUAAACUUCAAAGCA
rnacentral:lncRNA from 1 species